GAUGAACGCUGGCGGCGUGCCUAAUACAUGCAAGUCGAGCGAACAGACGAGGAGCUUGCUCCUCUGACGUUAGCGGCGGACGGGUGAGUAACACGUGGAUAACCUACCUAUAAGACUGGGAUAACUUCGGGAAACCGGAGCUAAUACCGGAUAAUAUAUUGAACCGCAUGGUUCAAUAGUGAAAGACGGUUUUGCUGUCACUUAUAGAUGGAUCCGCGCCGCAUUAGCUAGUUGGUAAGGUAACGGCUUACCAAGGCAACGAUGCGUAGCCGACCUGAGAGGGGGAUCGGGCACACUGGAACUGAGACACGGUCCAGACUCCUACGGGAGGCAGCAGUAGGGAAUCUUCCGCAAUGGGCGAAAGCCUGACGGAGCAAAGCCGCGGGAGGGAUGAAGGUCUUCGGAUCGUAAAACUCUGUUAUUAGGGAAGAACAAAUGUGUAAGUAACUAUGCACGUCUUGACGGUACCUAAUCAGAAAGCCACGGCUAACUACGUG
rnacentral:rRNA from 1 species